rnacentral:rRNA from 1 species
AUUGAACGCUGGCGGCAUGCUUUACACAUGCGAGUCGAACGGCAGCGCGGGCUUCGGCCUGGCGGCGAGUGGCGAACGGGUGAGUAAUGCAUCGGAACGUGCCCAGUAGUGGGGGAUAGCCCGUCGAAAGCCGGAUUAAUACCGCAUACGACCUGAGGGUGAAAGCGGGGGACCGAAAGGCCUCGCGCUAUUGGAGCGGCCGAUGUCGGAUUAGCUAGUUGGUGGGGUAAAGGCUUACCAAGGCGACGAUCCGUAGCUGGUCUGAGAGGACGACCAGCCACACUGGGACUGAGACACGGCCCAGACUCCUACGGGAGGCAGCAGUGGGGAAUGUUGGACAAUGGGGGCAACCCUGAUCCAGCCAUGCCGCGUGCGGGAAGAAGGCCUUCGGGUUGUAAACCGCUUUUGUUCGGGAAGAAAUCCUCUGGGCUAAUACCCCGGGGGGAUGACGGUACCGGAAGAAUAAGCACCGGCUAACUACGUG